UUUCUUUGGCCCCACUAGAAUAAUAUGCUGCGUACUGAAAUAUGGUCAACACCACAAACUAUGAGUUCUCUUGGCUUCUGCUGCUGUGAAAUUUUUAAACUGAUCAUUUUUGAAACACUUAACCCACCAUGAAGAGACUUUCUUAAAGAAAUCUUAUGGUCUUUGUUUUACCUAAAGCAAUUAAUGAAAUUGGUGUCCAUGCAGGUGGGGCAGGAACCAUGCAACACCCACAGAAAUUAAGGUCAGCCAGAUUCCAACUCAUUGGUAUAGAAGUCAGCUUAGAAUCCUACAGGGUGAGAUGUUGUCCUGUGUGCUAAAUUAAACUCUAGUACAAAACUGUCUUCUUUCAGAACCAAGAGCACUAACAGAGUCAUUUAAAGAUCUCAGUGGACCCACUAUGACAUGCUUGAGUCUGGCUCAGUGUCUCACUGUCCAAAAAGCUCCUGCUUUGGAACUGCAGCCACAUGCUCCUGCAGCUGAAAGUCCGGCUCUCCAGUGUGUGUCCUAGAGUAGGAGCAUGCUGGCCAGCUUGUAGGGCUGGAAGCUCCCCCCUCACUUACUGGCUAAGUGACUCUAACUAUAAGCAAAUCCCUUAGCUUCUCCAUGUCUGGGUUUCUCUGUGCACCUAGCUGUCACAGUGCCUAGCUCACCAUGCAGUUGGGAGGGUAAAGCAGUUAAUGAGUAGCUAAAACAAGAAACAAAGGUCUUUCUUUCAGCUCCUGAACUAUACUACUGACUUUUUUGGGAGAGAAAUUUUCCUAAGGACUCAUGAAACAUCAGUUUUAAGAGGCUGUGCCCAAGAAGAGCUGGAGGUAAAGCUAUUCACACUCUUUUUCCAUCUCCUAGGAUGUGCCCCAUCCUCAGACCAACUUCUCGUUCUGUUUUUACUUUCCUGUGGCAUGACCAUGGACCCAGCUUGUUACGUGACUGUCCUUCCCCCACUUCCCAGUGGCUCAGAGUUAGGCUUUUAGAGGUUUAACCAUGUAAAGCUGAUAAUUCAUUGACUCUAAUGACAUCUGCCUAUCAAUAUGAACAUCUGAUUUUAGUCCAAGGUAAUUCUAUCAUUUCGGGCUGAGUGACACAGGGUAAAGUUUUCAGGAGCAGCUAGGGUUCCCCUAGCUGCCUUUAUAUCAUAUGGCUCACCCCAUCCUUCUUACGAAUUCUGUCAGCCUCAGAUAUACAGGCAUAACCUGGUGUUACAGUCUUUUUUUCAGUAAAGCAUUUUGAUUCCACUCAAAGGGCAAUCAAUAGGACCAGUAUCAAUUUUAUGGAAUCUACUUCAUUUAUACUGCAAUUCUUAUAUAAACAUUCCAAUUAGAAUUUUUUUUUUUACUUUUCAUCAAUUAUACUUUAUGUAUAAUAAGAGAAAAAACACCUCAGGCUUGACAGUAUACGUUACAAGGUCUGAUUUAUAUAGUUGUAAUUUUCUGUAUGUCUAUUUACAUCAAUUAAGAAAAGGUCAAUGUCUCACUAUUUCCGAUCGGACUGUCUGUAGGGGUGAAGAUAAAAGUCGAACCUCCCCUGAGUGAUAAAUGCUUAUCUUGUGUUGUACUAUCUUUGCCGUCUGCAGUAGAGCAGGUGAGUCGGGCUCCUGGGAGCCUCGCUCCAGCGGGUGAUUUAUCCAACUUGCCACUAGGGGGAGGUGAGGCUAACUAGUGACCCAGAUCAGCGGAAGGGAGCAGGGAAAGUGCAGGAAAGGUAGUGAAUACAAUUGCCCAAAUCAAGGGAAAAGAGGAGGCCAGGGGAAGAGGAAGAGCUCUGGCUGGACAUCAGGGAUACUAAGGGACUCUCACCGAUUUUUUCAGAUGAAUGAAGAGGAGCCCUGAUAAACAAAGCAAGAUGGCCAGGAGCUUGUUUCUGAGUAAGGGGGAUCUCUGCUCCCUCCUUCAUGGGUGCUCCCCAGCCAGGGGUGCAGGGGAAUGAAGUUUCAGUUCCCGAUGAGAACAGUGAGCAUUGAGGAAUUACCAGCUGUGACAUGGACCCCCAUUACUGAUAACAUGCUUGGUUGCGUUUUGGCUUUGUUCAGUUUUUGUACUCAACAUGGGCUCCUUCGAUGACCUCAGUGACAGGGAUUAGAGAUGAGGUGCUGGGUGAGGAGGGGAAAGUUCAAAGCAUGGGGGUGACAGACCAAGCCCCUGUGACAGGCUUGGUAGAAAUGAGCACUGCAUCUUCAUGUUUAAAAGAGAAUCUCUCCUCCCCGAAGCCAUGUCCCAUUCAGCAUUUCCCCAAAAUAAUGGCAAAAGUCACCAUUGAAAUGGAUUGUUAAUUGUCUGGGUUCAAUCACUGAUAAGAAUAAACCUGCUGAGGCAGCUGGCUUUUGUCGCUUUGGCUCAUAAGCAAUAUUGUUCCAGCCCUGGGGAUCCUGGGAGGACAAGGGAAGGAAGAGGAGAUGGGGAAGGAGAUACACAGGGCAGACAGACUCACCCUCCAGGAAAAGCCCACCACUCAAAUGCCUGAAUCCAACGGGCCAGAAGAACCCCCAACCCGGUCCUCACAGGGGGCCCAAAACUUGUCCCCAUGGGAGUCUUCUGUGCCAAACUAGAGUCUGAACUGCACCCAGAAGACAAUGGGAAGCCUGUGGUGGUAUUCAGUCAGGCAGCUGGUAGCACUACAAAUCAGCCCCAUCAGCACUCCAUCAUAUUAUUCUAAUCCUUGGCAUAGCAAUGACCACUACCUAAUAUUUAUUUAUCUAUUCACUGGCUCAUUACUUCAUUGUUACUGCCUGUCUCUCCCCACUAAACUGUAACUUUCAUGGCAGCAGGGACUUUAUGUUUUGUUCACCACAGUAUAAGCAGCAAAUAAUCUAGGCAGGACACUGCAAGUGCUCGGUAAGGAUUCCUGCGUGAAUAAAGAUUUGAUAUCAGAGGUGGGAAAUGGGAGGUCAGAAGCCAGAGUCUGCAGCAUGCGGGGGAAGGGCGGGGGGAGGCAGGGCAGGCAGUUGAGGCACAGUAUGCAAGUAGUGUUUGGGAUCAAGAGGAGCUCAGAGAUGGUGGCUGCUGCAGUGUGCCCAGGUAGGGUAUAUUACCCCCCAGCUGCUGGGAGUGCUGGUGGCUCUGGGCUCCUCACCAAGUCCCUCUCUGGGAACUACCUUUGGUGGAGACAGUCACACUGCCCAAGUUCAUAGCAGCCACUUCCAAUGGUUGAUCGAUGCAGGGGGUGGAUGGUAGGGGUCUGGCCCCUCCUUAUGGGAGGACACUCGGAAAGGCCAUCCCAGAUCCAACUCCCAGUGGGACUGGUUGAGGCCUUUCUUAUGAUCUCAACAAGGAAAUUCAGAUUCUCCUGCUCAGAGUUACUUCUGUCCUUCCUUUAUAGCUAUAGAUACCAAGGUCAUUCCUCCAUAAACUGGUCUUACACAGAUCUUCAUCUCUACAUCUGCUUCCCAGAGAACUUGACCUUGGUGGUGCCAGGAGGGAUCCGAGGAAUAGACUCUCAUGUUGAAUUACCGAGCUGGAUCAUCCAUCUCCCAGCUGGAAAUGAAGACCCAUCCCUGGUGGUAAGAGAAGCCCUGACAAUUCCCAGCUCUCUGGAGAAGCACAGUCGUUCAAACCUUCAUUGGUGAUGGAACUGGGAUGUGAUACAAGGAGGAGGGAAUGUGCUGGUAGGCUGGGAGGUACAAUACACAGGCUUUUGAGAGACUCUGAAAAGCUGCCACUCAUGAGAACCAGGAAACUGGUGGCUUUUGCUGAGUCACUGACACAUUAGAAAAAGAUAUGUGAAGCCCAGGGCUGUGAGGCCCAGAGUUAUGAAUCACCACUGGAAGCAAGGCAUGAAAGUUAGAAAGCCUCAUGGGUAGCACCUAAGGAGGUCCUACAUGACCAGAGGGCAGAAAAGGCCAAGAAUAAUGAGCAGAGCCUAAUUAUGAGGACAGUAGCACUCCAAAGAAUCUGAACCCCCAGCUCUGGCAGAUCUGCUAAUCAGGGCCACAGACCCCACUGGGGUGAGGGGCAUCCUACAAUUUGGAUGAGGACAUCGAGUUAGCUCAAGCCUAAAAAUGCCAUGCAGAGCCACGUGGGCCCCAUCCUCUCUCAUCAAGGGAGGAAGAGAGGUCUCCAGACUGUAAGACCACACAGGCUCCCGAAGAUUUUACCGCCACUGUCACUUCCACCAGACCAAUGACUAGAGUUGGGGGCAGACAACACAUGGUGGGAAGUGCUGGGGCAGCUUAGGGGAAAGAGGGCUGGCAGGGUCCAGCCUAGGUGGACUGGCCACGCUGGAGAUGGUGUACAGGUCUGGGUCUUGAGGGUGAUGGAUCAAAGGGGGCAGGAGACAAAGGUUGGUAGGGAGAAUUUAUUUAUACAGAUACUGUCUUCUACUGUAGGUGGUCUGCCACCCUGGCAAGGACUCCAAGAGAUGGUUGCAUUCUGCUGCUGGGAUGACUCUUGGAACUUUGGAGAAAAUUAUGGUCCAUACUAACUAAGGCUGAAAUGGAAACAGUAUCAAUGAGGAGUGGACAAUCUUGGGUGCUAUCAGUCUUGCAGAACCACCCUGUGUCAGCUGAAGAGAGCAUCGCCCAAGUGCAUGCCUUCCCUGGGAGCAGCCUGACUCCAUGACUGCUCCAGGAGUGCAGAGAAAUAACAAACACCCAGCCCCCUGACCUCAAGGUGAGACAACUCUAAAAACCCAUCCAACUCCUAAGCUCCCCAUGAGAUCAGAGACUAACAGGAGUGGCUAGAAAGGAAAGAUAAAAUAACAAGGAAGUAGUAUCCCAGAAACAAGAGAAGUUGCUAAAAGGAGUGUGUGCAAGUCCCUGGGAUUUUAUUUACUAUAAUCUAGUUAGAGGGCAGUGAGGCCGAGUGGAGGCAGGUAGACAGGAAACCGGAUUGGCUACAGUAAUUGAGAAGUUGGGUAGUGGCCACAAGGAGUCUCAUUUCUAUUUCCUUUACUUUAUAUAUAUUUGAAAUAUGCUAUAAUAAAAAGUUAAACAGAAAGGGAGUGAAUAUGAGUGGAUAUCAACAGCAUUUAGGUGGCAAAUACAGAAAACCAGGAAACCCAGGUGCCUGGGUAGUAGCUCAGUCGGUUAAGCGUCCAACUCUUGAUUUCAGCUCAGGUCAUGAUGUCAGGAUCGUGAGAAUGAGUCCCACAUUGGCUCCAGGCUCAGCUCAGAGUUUGCUUGUCUCUCUCUCUGCCCCUCCUCCUUGCUUGCACGAAUGUGCUCACUCUCUCUUUCUCUGUCUCUAAAAUAAAUUUUUAAAAUCUUAAAAAAAAAAAAAAAAGAAAAAGAAAAUCAGGUAACCAAGACUUACCUUUUCAUCAUCUCUCUGUGGCACUGUUCUAGGCUCUGGGGACACAGCAGUGAACAAAGCACAUGAAAAUUCUUGUCCUUUAUGAAAAUUAGAUUCUAGUGGGAGGGAGACAGACAGUGAACAAAGUAAUUAGGACUGACAAACUGUUUUUGUGCACUGGUGUGUUGAUCCUGCCAUUCCUUCCCUCCCAUAACGGAAUCUUAGUGAUACAUAACAAGUUCAGGGAUGGAGACAGUACAAGAAAAAUAUUCUAUGAAAGCACCAGGACCACAGAUUGCAUACCUAAGUUCUUCCUGGACCGUGGUGUUGGGCACCCCCUAACCCAACCAUAAAGCAGAAAUAUAGUUUCCUCCUUCUCAAAGCUAGCAGGAGUGAUAGCAUGGAAAGAACCAUCUACAGGUAACCCAGAGCCAACUAUGCAUUCCACUGUGUGGAUUUUUACCAUGGGCUCUGAAAGAUGCAAAAUGACUCUAGCAGCUCCAUACCCUAUAACCUCUGUCAUUCAGAUUCCUCGGGAAGACCAGAGUCUCUUUUCCCAAGAUGGUGGGCUAAAUCUCCUUUAUGUGUCACUGGCUCCAAUUGACUCAUGUGCCCCAAAUUAGCCAUUGUCCCUGGAAAAUACAAUGCACUGAUUGACUCAGACUAGUCUUAUGCUCCUUUCCUGAGCUGAGGGUGGAGUCUUGUUCAAGGACUAAUCACAUACUAUGAACAGCAGGAUUUGUUUUGACAGUAGGGUCCACAGGAUUUGAUGAUGAAUUUUAAAGAAGUAACAGAGCAGUAAUUUCCAAUGAGGGUGCUGCCACUCAGAAGGCAGUUUUGGAAAUUGGUGGGAGCAUUUCUGAUUGCUACAAUUAUUAAAGGGGAACUACUGGCAUUGAGUGGGCAGGAGCCAGGGAUGCCAGAUAUCCUGCCCGAUACAAGGCAGCUUGCAAAGAGAAAACAGGCCUGAGUCCUGCACAAUUUCCAUACAUCUCAUCCAAACUUAAGCCUGAGUACAUGCUCUACAACAAGAUGGGUUGCAAAGAGAUUUAUUUUCUGUGAUACUGUCACUACCCCUAACCCAUAUCAUAACAAAGAAAUCAUUUUGUCCCUAACGCUUACAAAUAAUAAAACUGAGCUCAUUUACAAGAUUACCAUACUUCCUCAUUUUUUCACUCUAAGAGUCUGAGUCUGUAAUGUGUCUUGACAUGUUAUCAACGCAUCCACUCCAAUUAAGGGUAUUUCCCUCAUCCUCUUAUUUUAUACCCUUUUAAGAAAAAGACCAUAGAUAUGAGGCUCCUGCAAGAUUUUCCCCUGGUCAUCAGGGAAGGGCCUCCUACUAUCAGAUAGGGAAGAUGGGACACCCUGAUGCCCAGCAGAUAGGAAAAAGUGCAGCUGUAGCAAAAAGUCUGCAUACAUUUGAGGGGGGAAAAAGGCAUUUAAAUGAGUAUUAGAAAUAUGCAUUUUUAAAAGACUACAGUAUCUAUCCGGGAAAACACUUAAGUUCUAUAAAUAAAUCACAGUGCUUAUCCAGGGAAGCAAAAUCCAAGGCUCUCAUUGUUAGUUUUUCAACUUAGAAUACAUGGCAUGAAGAUUGCUCAGCUGUCAAGGGGCUGGUUUUUGUUUUUGUUUUUGUUUUUGUUUUGUCAACAUUGGAAUAGCUCUGGUUUUCCUAAAACUAGUUUCUAAUCUAACAUUGGUUUUUAAUCAGUGUUCAUUUACUCAGAUCUCUGCUCUUUCCCAUUCCUGAACUUUCUGUUCAGAAUGCCUUCUGAUUUUCUAUCUCUUACAUUCAAAUGCUUCCCUAGAAGCAGCUGCAAGCAUCUCGCCAGUUCAUUGCAGACUGUUUAAUAUCUCUGUCGAGUAACUCAUUACCUCAAAAUUUAGGGGCUUCAAAUAAUAUUUAUUAUCUCACUGUGUGCCUGCCUCGGGUCCAUGCCUGUGAGGCCUCAUCACGUGAUGGAAAGAUUAGAACAAGAAGUGGCUGGAAUAAAGGGCCAUUAAGGCUCCUCCCAACCACAAGAGAUUACUGUAAGAAGACAUCUGCACUAAAUGCUUUUUUUGCAUUCUCAAGGAGCUUAUUUAUCUUUGAGAAGAGAAGCUUUGUCUUUCUAGUUCAUGUCCCACUUCUGUGGAAGCAGAAGUCAGCAUCUAUUCAAGCUUAUAGAUCCUGGGCAGCAGAAGGUACAGAUUAAAGCCAGGGCAACAU
rnacentral:lncRNA from 1 species